rnacentral:rRNA from 1 species
UUCCUACGGGACGCAGCAGUAGGGAAUCUUCCACAAUGGACGAAAGUCUGAUGGAGCAACGCCGCGUGAGUGAAGAAGGGUUUCGGCUCGUAAAGCUCUUUUGGUAGGGGAGAAAGAUAGAGGUAGUAACUGGCCUUUAUUUGACGGUAAUUACUUAGAAAGUCACGGCUAACUACGUGCCAGGAGCCGCGGUAAUACGGAAGUGGCAAGCGUUGUCCGGAUUUAUUGGGCGUAAAGCGAGUGCAGGCGGGUCAAUAAGUCUGAUGUGAAAGCCGUAG